rnacentral:rRNA from 2 species
GUGACCUCGGAUCAGGUAGGGAUACCCGCUGAACUUAAGCAUAUCAAUAAGCGGAGGA